CCGGUGAGGGAGGGAGAUAGACGGAGAGAAAAGGAGGCUUCAGGUGUCAGCUGGAAGAAACGCGUAGGAGCCGCAGGACCUGCCAUCAUCACCGCCGCCGCCGUCUGCGCAGCCCCGGCAGGGCUGGAGAGACACCGGAGAUCAUUUCAAUAAGAUGACAACCUCUCUGCCCGCUUGGUAUAAGUGGAUUUCAGCCCCCUCCUUCAGAGCUGGGAAUCCCGCGGCGAUGGAGGCAGCAAGGCAGAGAAGGUGAACACCAAGGACGUCUCGGCUACAAGCGAAAGCGACAUGAGCAGACAGGGGGAACAGAGGAAAUCUGUGACUGAAGUCCACAGACUGAGGGUCAGAGGUCACCUGGGACCGUGGACAAGAUGCCUCAACAGCAGACUUUCACCUCAUUUCAGAGGCUGAAUCAUGAGUGACCAACGAGAAAAAUUAUCUUUUCAAA